CAGACUCCUCUGGCAGCGGCUUAUCUCCACAGAGAACAAAAGGAUUGCGCAUGUUGAAUGGUAAUGGUCCCUUUACACGGGACAAUAUUACAGCAGAUUGUCAGGAAGGAAGCGUUCCUUCCCGACAAUUUGCUGAUCGCUAGUGGAGGAUACCACUGCAUUUGAAUGCAGUGAUCUCCUCCAGAAUAUGGGGAGCAACAAUUGCUAAUGCCAUCGCUCUUC